rnacentral:rRNA from 1 species
CGGCAACCAACCCCGCGGCCGGGCAUAGCCACUCGAAAGGGUGGGUAAUUCCCGGCGUCCCAAUGAGCCCGGCAUCGGGCUUUUGGGAAAGGUGAGACUCCGCCGUGGGACGGACCGUCGUGGUAUCAGCUUGUUGGCGGGGUAACGGCCCACCAAGGCUAUGACGCCUACCGGGCGUGCGAGCGUGGCCCGGCACACUGGGACUGAGACACUGCCCAGACUCCUACGGGAGGCUGCAGUCGAGAAUCUUCGGCAAUGGGCGCAAGCCUGACCGAGCGACGCCGCGUGGAGGACGAAGGCCUUCGGGUUGUAAACUCCUGUCGAGGGGGAACAAGGUGGCGUGAAGAACGUCGCUUGAGUGAACCCUGGAGGAAGCACGGGCUAAGUUCGUGCCAGCAGCCGCGGUAAGACGAACCGUGCGAACGUUAUUCGGAAUCACUGGGCUUAAAGCGCGUGUAGGCGGCCCGGCACGUCCGUCGCUGAAAUCCCCCGGCUCAACCGGGGAAGUGGCGUGGAUACGACCGGGCUGGAGGGGGGUAGGGGGAGCCGGAACUUCCGGU